CAUGGUUGUCGUCAGCUCGUGCCGUGAGGUGUCAGGUUAAGUCCUAUAACGAGCGCAACCCCUAUUGUUAGUUACCAGCGCGUAGUGGCGGGGACUCUAGCAAGACUGCCGGUGCAAACCGUGAGGAAGGUGGGGAUGACGUCAAAUCAUCACGGCCCUUACGUCCUGGGCUACACACGUGCUACAAUGGCAAGUACAGAAAGCAGCUACCUGGCAACAGGAUGCGAAUCUCCAAAGCUUGUCUCAGUUCGGAUUGGAGUCUGCAACUCGACUCUAUGAAGCUGGAAUCGCUAGUAAUCGGAUAUCAGCCAUGAUCCGGUGAAUACGUUCCCGGGCCUUGUACACACCGCCCGUCAAGCCAUGGAAGCUGGGGGUACCUGAAGUCGGUGACCGCAAGGAGCUGCCUAGGGUAAAACUAGUAACUAGGGCUAAGUCGUAACAAGGUAGCCGUACCGGAAGGUGCGGCUGGAACACCUCCUUUCUAGA
rnacentral:rRNA from 1 species